rnacentral:lncRNA from 1 species
AUGAGAGCAGGAGUUGCUGUGUUAGGUCAUUGCACUCCAUGUGAAACAAGAUCCAGCUCAGGGUGGGAUAGAGAAGGAAGGUUCUGCUCCCACACAAGUCAGGAUGUUGACCUGAAAGUAUGUCAGGGAGCUUUGGAUGACUGCUGUCCACCUCCGGGACAGGAUCAACUGGAACUGCAAGAAGAAGAGAAAGACAUAUAUCAAGUAAGUGAUGAAACAAAAGGGAAGAAGGGAAAACUGAAGAGGAAGUGAGGCAGGAUACAGAACUUAUCACUAAGAUAAAUAGUAUUAAAGGGUUUUGAAAGGAAUAAUUUAUUUCCUCUUGUUAUUUGAAGUGUCCCUUGCCAGGGCAGGAAAAAAAUUGUCCCUUCAGACAAUGCUUUGUGAAUGAUGUGCUUGUAUACCUUUUUGAAAAUUGCCUCCUUUCUUCAACCCCCCACUAUUUUUUUUGAGUAGUUGAAAUAUUCAGAGGUUUACAGAAAACACUUGCAACUAGUUAUUUUUUAAUCUGGGUUUAUUUUCUCUGUUGUGAAGGUGUGCUUUUGGGCAAGGAUGGUUUUGCCUACAAACACUAGAGACAUGGAUGCUAAAUUAUACUGCUCUCACCAUUUAUGUAAAGCUUAAUGCUCAGAUGUAGAAUUACAUUUGGGACACUGAACUCUUCUGUUCUCUCUAAGAGCUACAACGAAAAGGGCACUCAAUUUUUUUGAGACCUUGUGAGAGCUGAGAACAUCUGAUCCAGGUGUCUUGCCAGCCUCCUCUGUCUGCCACUCCCCUGAGAGCUUGGCUUUGAAAAAAUACUUAAUCUUUCCACACUGGUGGGGAGGUACAGCUUCAAAGGAAAGCCCAUUUCUGAUGUUGUGGGCAGGGUAGGGAUGCUCAGGCCAUGGAGCUGUUCUGCUCAUUCUAGCAACAUGUCAUCUCCCAUCAGGAUGAAGACUUGAUGGUGGAGUCAGCAGCAGUAUUGCACUGUGCUCUGUUUCCUCUCUGACUUUGAUUUUUACCUCCUUAGGUAAAAUAACUGUGCUUUACACCAUAUUUCUCUUUUUGUCACAGAGCAACAGCAACCAUGGAGAUUCCCUUCUCUCCUUAGAAAGCUGUUUACAGCUUCUGUCAUCGCAGGUGGAAAACAUGCUAGAGGUAAAUGAGAAAAUACAGGUAUUGCCUGCCAAUAGAUUGGAAUAUAGUCAGCAAUUACUCUGUUUUAUCAAAUAAAACCACCACAGCCUACCCUACCCACUCUGGGAAUUUACUGGCAAAUCAACGUAGUAAAACUUACCUGAAACUGCUAAAGAUGCUACUAUCCACCUUUUACAACAGCUCUCGUUAGGUUUACUUGAAAAAUCUUCUCCAGCAACUUGUCUGGUGUAUGAACUGUGUCUUUAUUGUGAUCUGGUAUUCAAAGUUGGAUGGAACCACUGGACAACUCAAUUAGUUCAACUAAUAGUUGCCUUUCUAAAA